CCUACGGGGGGCUGCAGUAGGGAAUCUUCCACAAUGGGCGAAAGCCUGAUGGAGCAAUGCCGCGUGAGUGAUGAAGGUUUUCGGAUCGUAAAGCUCUGUUGCCAGGGAAGAACGUCCGGGUGAGUAACUGCACCCGGAGUGACGGUACCUGAGAAGAAAGCCCCGGCUAACUACGUGCCAGCAGCCGCGGUAAUACGUAGGGGGCAAGCGUUGUCCGGAAUUAUUGGGCGUAAAGCGCGUGCAGGCGGCUCUUUAAGUCGGAUGUUUAAGAUCGGGGCUCAACCCCGAUUCGCAUCCGAAACUGGGGAGCUUGAGUGUAGGAGAGGAAAGUGGAAUUCCACGUGUAGCGGUGAAAUGCGUAGAGAUGUGGAGGAACACCAGUGGCGAAGGCGACUUUCUGGCCUAUAACUGACGCUGAGGCGCGAAAGCGUG
rnacentral:rRNA from 1 species